CUGGCUCAGGAUGAACGCUAGCUACAGGCUUAACACAUGCAAGUCGAGGGGCAGCAUGGUCUUAGCUUGCUAAGGCCGAUGGCGACCGGCGCACGGGUGAGUAACACGUAUCCAACCUGCCGUCUACUCUUGGACAGCCUUCUGAAAGGAAGAUUAAUACAAGAUGGCAUCAUGAGUCCGCAUGUUCACAUGAUUAAAGGUAUUCCGGUAGACGAUGGGGAUGCGUUCCAUUAGAUAGUAGGCGGGGUAACGGCCCACCUAGUCUUCGAUGGAUAGGGGUUCUGAGAGGAAGGUCCCCCACAUUGGAACUGAGACACGGUCCAAACUCCUACGGGAGGCAGCAGUGAGGAAUAUUGGUCAAUGGGCGCAGGCCUGAACCAGCCAAGUAGCGUGAAGGAUGACUGCCCUAUGGGUUGUAAACUUCUUUUAUAAAGGAAUAAAGUCGGGUAUGUAUACCCGUUUGCAUGUACUUUAUGAAUAAGGAUCGGCUAACUCCGUGCCAGCAGCCGCGGUAAUACGGAGGAUCCGAGCGUUAUCCGGAUUUAUUGGGUUUAAAGGGAGCGUAGAUGGAUGUUUAAGUCAGUUGUGAAAGUUUGCGGCUCAACCGUAAAAUUGCAGUUGAUACUGGAUAUCUUGAGUGCAGUUGAGGCAGGCGGAAUUCGUGGUGUAGCGGUGAAAUGCUUAGAUAUCACGAAGAACUCCGAUUGCGAAGGCAGCCUGCUAAGCUGCAACUGACAUUGAGGCUCGAAAGUGUGGGUAUCAAACAGGAUUAGAUACCCUGGUAGUCCACACGGUAAACGAUGAAUACUCGCUGUUUGCGAUAUACUGCAAGCGGCCAAGCGAAAGCGUUAAGUAUUCCACCUGGGGAGUACGCCGGCAACGGUGAAACUCAAAGGAAUAGACGGGGGCCCGCACAAGCGAAGGAACAUGUGGUUUAAUUCGAUGAUACGCGAGGAACCUUACCCGGGCGUAAAUUGCAGAUGAAUUACGGUGAAAGCCGUAAGCCGCAAGGCAUCUGUGAAGGUGCUGCAUGGUUGUCGUCAGCUCGUGCCGUGAGGUGUCGGCUUAAGUGCCAUAACGAGCGCAACCCUUGUUGUCAGUUACUAACAGGUUCCGCUGAGGACUCUGACAAGACUGCCAUCGUAAGAUGUGAGGAAGGUGGGGAGGACGUCAAAUCAGCACGGCCCUUACGUCCGGGGCUACACACGUGUUACAAUGGGGGGUACAGAGGGCCGCUACCACGCGAGUGGAUGCCAAUCCCCAAAACCUCUCUCAGUUCGGACUGGAGUCUGCAACCCGACUCCACGAAGCUGGAUUCGCUAGUAAUCGCGCAUCAGCCACGGCGCGGUGAAUA
rnacentral:rRNA from 1 species